rnacentral:tRNA from 1 species
GGUCUCAUCGUCUAAUGGCUAGGACACCGGCUUUUCACGCCGGCAAUCGGGGUUCGAUUCCCCGUGAGACUGCGA